UGCACAAUAGCUCAGUUGGUAGAGCAUGAGACUCUUAAUCUCAGGGUUGUGGGUUCGAUACCCACGUUGGGCAA